UACAUCUUAAUCUAUAUUCCAUGUAGUUCUUAUUCUCUAAUGUCUUUCUCUUUAGUUAUAGGAAAAACCUAUACUUUGCCCCAUGCACUUUUUUUUUUUUUACAAUUACCCCUUAUACUUUUAUUCAUCGACAUUGCAUUCUUGCACUUUUAUUUUUAUCAACAAUUGCCCCUUAUUUAACAAUCUCGUUAAUGGAGACCGUUUUUGUCAAUGUAAUUGAUACAUCAUCUAUACAUGUGUAAAAGUCAGAAUAUGUGUAAAAAAAUGAAUACUUCAUUUCCCCCCUUUAACUGUUAAGGCUUUCACCUUCUCCCUCCAUAACAUUCAACGUGUAUUUUGCUAGCACUAAGGGCGAAACUAAGGGGAAAUGGAAGCUGAACGAAUUUCCAUUUGCCUAUGCGGUUUGCCCGCUCGAUUGGAGACAUGGAACGAUGAAAAGAAACCAUGGAGAAGGUUCUAUGCCUACUCUGGAUUGAAGGCUGGUGAAGCUAUGGCACAUUGUUCGUGCAAAAACCCAGUAAAUGAAGCAAAUGGAGGUUUGCCUAGCUGAUUAUGAUAUAGUGAAAGCAGAUUUUCAUGCGUCCAAGGGAGAGAACCAAAUACUGAAAGAAGAGUUUGGGCUACUCUAUAUGGAGAUUGAUACGUUGAAAGAGCAGCUUGCGACAGUUGAAGAAAAAUUGGAAAAGCUGAAAAUAAUGAUGCUAGGGGCUGGUAUUAUUGUGUUGGGCGUUGUUGGUCAUGGUGUUUAUAGCCAUAAAUAGGUUUUUAUAUUAAGUUGUGUUGCUAGCAUAACUUUUGUAUUAUUGCUGGUUAAUGUAUCUUUUUGCUAUGUUCAAUAAAUAUGUUGGUUGUUACAUUA